GCAAGUCGAACGGUAACAGGAAGCAGCUUGCUGCUUUGCUGACGAGUGGCGGACGGGUGAGUAAUGUCUGGGAAACUGCCUGAUGGAGGGGGAUAACUACUGGAAACGGUAGCUAAUACCGCAUAACGUCGCAAGACCAAAGAGGGGGACCUUCGGGCCUCUUGCCAUCGGAUGUGCCCAGAUGGGAUUAGCUAGUAGGUGGGGUAAAGGCUCACCUAGGCGACGAUCCCUAGCUGGUCUGAGAGGAUGACCAGCCACACUGGAACUGAGACACGGUCCAGACUCCUACGGGAGGCAGCAGUGGGGAAUAUUGCACAAUGGGCGCAAGCCUGAUGCAGCCAUGCCGCGUGUAUGAAGAAGGCCUUCGGGUUGUAAAGUACUUUCAGCGGGGAGGAAGGGAGUAAAGUUAAUACCUUUGCUCAUUGACGUUACCCGCAGAAGAAGCACCGGCUAACUCCGUGCCAGCAGCCGCGGUAAUACGGAGGGUGCAAGCGUUAAUCGGAAUUACUGGGCGUAAAGCGCACGCAGGCGGUUUGUUAAGUCAGAUGUGAAAUCCCCGGGCUCAACCUGGGAACUGCAUCUGAUACUGGCAAGCUUGAGUCUCGUAGAGGGGGGUAGAAUUCCAGGUGUAGCGGUGAAAUGCGUAGAGAUCUGGAGGAAUACCGGUGGCGAAGGCGGCCCCCUGGACGAAGACUGACGCUCAGGUGCGAAAGCGUGGGGAGCAAACAGGAUUAGAUACCCUGGUAGUCCACGCCGUAAACGAUGUCGACUUGGAGGUUGUGCCCUUGAGGCGUGGCUUCCGGAGCUAACGCGUUAAGUCGACCGCCUGGGGAGUACGGCCGCAAGGUUAAAACUCAAAUGAAUUGACGGGGGCCCGCACAAGCGGUGGAGCAUGUGGUUUAAUUCGAUGCAACGCGAAGAACCUUACCUGGUCUUGACAUCCACGGAAGUUUUCAGAGAUGAGAAUGUGCCUUCGGGAACCGUGAGACAGGUGCUGCAUGGCUGUCGUCAGCUCGUGUUGUGAAAUGUUGGGUUAAGUCCCGCAACGAGCGCAACCCUUAUCCUUUGUUGCCAGCGGUCCGGCCGGGAACUCAAAGGAGACUGCCAGUGAUAAACUGGAGGAAGGUGGGGAUGACGUCAAGUCAUCAUGGCCCUUACGACCAGGGCUACACACGUGCUACAAUGGCGCAUACAAAGAGAAGCGACCUCGCGAGAGCAAGCGGACCUCAUAAAGUGCGUCGUAGUCCGGAUUGGAGUCUGCAACUCGACUCCAUGAAGUCGGAAUCGCUAGUAAUCGUGGAUCAGAAUGCCACGGUGAAUACGUUCCCGGGCCUUGUACACACCGCCCGUCACACCAUGGGAGUGGGUUGCAAAAGAAGUAGGUAGCUUAACCUUCGGGAGGGCGCUUACCACUUUGUGAUUCAUGACUGGGGUGAAGUCGUAACAAGGUAACCGUAGGGGAACCUGCGGUUGGAUCACCUCCUUACCUUAAAGAAGC
rnacentral:rRNA from 1 species